GUGUCUGUAGUCCAACGGUUAGGAUAAUUGCCUUCCAAGCAAUAGACCGGGAGUAAUAGACCCGGGUUUGACUCCCGGCAGACGCA
rfam:Triticum urartu cultivar G1812 contig850528, whole genome shotgun sequence.